GCAUUUAUCAUCAGUAGUUAACAUAUUGUGUUGUACAGUUCAUAGACAAUGACCAAAGACUGGCUAGCUCAGUGAUAAAGGGACUAUUGAAGUACUGGCCAGUGACAAAUAGGCAAAAGGAGCUCAUGUUCAUCAGUGAGUUGGAAGAGAUUUUGGAAAUGACUAGCAUGGCUGAGUUUCAGAAGAUCAUGGUCCCAUUGUUCCGACGAAUGGCUUUCUGCCUCAAUAGUUCUCAUUAUCAGGUGGCUGAAAGAGCACAUUUGCUAUGGAACAAUGAGCACAUUCUGAAUUUGAUAACGCAAAACUGACAGGUGAUUCUGCCUCUAGUGUUGUCAGCAAUUGUACAUGAUGGUCAAAGUCAUUGGAACCAAGCAGUGCUGAACCUGACUCAGAACAUAAGGAAGAUGUUGUCUCAGAUGGACGAGGAGCUGGUAGCUGCAUGCCAAUGCAGGAUUGAGGAGGAAGAUUCAAGUGCAAGUGAUGCAGCUGAGAGGAGAAGAGUAACAUGGGAAAGGCUAGAAGCUACUGCUGCUAAUUGUGUCCCAAUUCAAUCUACUACUUCUGUAGGUGGAGCUGGAGAUGUUUUAGUCCCAGUAAAAUCUGCUACAUGCUCAGUGGCAUGCUAAGCUAAUUAAUUGGUUUGAGUAAUGAUGUAAGGUUAAGGUGGUUCUAAUUACUAUUACUAUUACACAAUAGUGGUGUGGUUAUUGAGUUUUUAUUUGUAUACAAAUACUAGCCUCAAAAAGAAAAUGAAAUUGUGGUGACUUGAGGGGUCUUUGUUUGACAAAGAAAGUGUUUUCAAAGUGGUGGUGAGUAGGUGAUAGUGUUAUUUAAUUUAUUUUUGGUUUGAA